rnacentral:rRNA from 1 species
AUUGAACGCUGGCGGCAUGCCUAACACAUGCAAGUCGAACGGCAGCGCGGACUUCGGUCUGGCGGCGAGUGGCGGACGGGUGAGGAAUACAUGGGAACCUACCCAGUCGUGGGGGAUAACGUAGGGAAACUUACGCUAAUACCGCAUACGACCGAGAGGUGAAAGCGGGGGAUCUUCGGACCUCGCGCGAUUGGAUGAGCCCAUGUCGGAUUAGCUAGUUGGCGGGGUAAAGGCCCACCAAGGCGACGAUCCGUAGCUGGUCUGAGAGGAUGAUCAGCCACACUGGAACUGAGAAACGGUCCAGACUCCUACGGGAGGCAGCAGUGGGGAAUAUUGGACAAGGGGCGCAAGCCUGAUGCAGCAAUGCCGCGUGGGUGAAGAAGGCCUUCGGGUUGUAAAGCCCUUUUGUACGGGAAGAAAGCUUUCGGGUUAAUACCCUGGGAGGAUGACGGUACCGUAAGAAUAAGCACCGGCUAACUUCGUGCCAGCAGCCGCCGUAAGAC